rnacentral:tRNA from 1 species
GGGCGCGUAGCUCAGUUGGUUAGAGCGCCACGUUGACAUCGUGGAGGCCAGAGGUUCGAGUCCUCUCGCGCCCA